rnacentral:rRNA from 1 species
CCUACGGGUGACAGCAGUCGAGAAUCAUUCACAAUGGGGGAAACCCUGAUGGUGCGACGCCGCGUGGGGGAAUGAAGGUCUUCGGAUUGUAAACCCCUGUCAUGUGGGAGCAAAUUAAAAAGAUAGUACCACAAGAGGAAGAGACGGCUAACUCUGUGCCAGCAGCCGCGGUAAUACAGCGGUCUCAAGCGUUGUUCGGAAUCACUGGGCGUAAAGCGUGCGUAGGCUGUUUCGUAAGUCGUGUGUGAAAGACGCGGGCUCAACCCGCGGACGGCACAUGAUACUGCGAGACUAGAGUAAUGGAGGGGGAACCGGAAUGCUCGGUGUAGCAGUGAAAUGCGUAGAUAUCGAGAGGAACACUCGUGGCGAAGGCGGGUUGCUGGACAUUAACUGACGCUGAGGCACGAAGGCCAGGGGAGCGAAAGGGAUUAGAUACCCCAGUAGUC